rnacentral:rRNA from 1 species
UACGGAGGGUGCAAGCGUUAUCCGGAUUCACUGGGUUUAAAGGGUGCGUAGGUGGGCAGGUAAGUCAGUGGUGAAAUCUCCGGGCUUAACCCGGAAACUGCCGUUGAUACUAUCUGUCUUGAAUAUAGUGGAGGUGAGCGGAAUAUGUCAUGUAGCGGUGAAAUGCUUAGAUAUGACAUAGAACACCCAUUGCGAAGGCAGCUCGCUACACUAUGAUUGACACUGAGGCACGAAAGCGUGGGGAUCAAACAGG